rnacentral:lncRNA from 1 species
GUUAUCGCUGAGCCACGAUGGGAACUCCCAACAUAUUGUUUAAAUUAUAAGAUACUGAUUUUAUGUGUCAGUGGAGUGAGAUAGAGGUUUAAUAAGCACAAUAGUUGUGAGAAAUGAGGUUACUGAAGGAAAUAUAGAUGAGGAAAGAAAUAUUGUCACCAGUGUGCCUCUGCCUAUACAAUGGAGUCAGAAAUAGAGAGGUAAAUGAGGGUAAAAAACUAUGUUUGUUUGGGGAGAAGGAAAAGAGAAAUGGCCCAGAAAAGAUUUAGCAGGCAUGAGGUGUACAGAAGAGAGAUUCUAAGACCGAAGCAUGUGCCUUUUACAUGCACCCAGCAAUGAAGUAUAAUAUGAUAUACUUAUUUAGAAAUGAGCACUUGUGGAGUUACAGAUUAAUCAGGGCCUGUCUUUAACCUGAUCUAUUAUAGCUUCUAUAAUUACAGCUUUUAUUGCAUAUACCUUCCUGCAGCUCUGUUCGAAUGCCAAAGGACAUUUCUUUCUUUAGAAGAGAAAGGGAGCUGGCUCUAAAGAAAACUUUACAGGAAAGGCUUAUAUUUUCAAGUGAAUGGCUGAUCUACUGACAGUGGUUACAAGGACAAACCAGCCCAAUGUUCAGCUAACUGAUGGGUCAGAGCAGGCCAGUACUUCUUUGGAGGUGGCUGAGUCAAAGCCCCUUGUUAUUCAAGCAGAUGUCAUGCAGAGGGAGCUAGAGAGCUGCCUAAGGAGAGAGUACACUCCUGAAAAUUUACCUUUGCUUCUGUUGCAGUAUUAUACAGAGAGAAUUACCCAGCUGGCCCAGAGUAAAUAUUUGCAUAUGCUUAGGUGGAAGAGAUUUUGCCAUCACAGUAAGAUCAUGGAACAACUCUAUCCUCUUUAUAAGAAACAAGUUGCCUACAUUAUGCAGGAAUACAAUGAUGCCCUUCAUAGAGCUGAUAGAUUGUCUGUUGCACGAGAAAACUUCCUUAUGGGAAAAAAGAAUCCUCCUAACUUAGUGACACAGGAAGACCUGACUAUUUACACAAAUUGGUUAGUGUGUCACCUACACUCACUCAAGACUAUUCACCAAUACCUGCAGGCCCUCCAGUAUUUGCCUCUCUCCAAAGUGCUAAGUAUAGCUGUGGAUGAAAUCCCAGAGGUUGGUCAGGAAAAUGAAAAGGUCCCUGUUGAUGACAUUGACCCUGACAUCCAGGGUUCUGUAUCUCCAGGCUCUAUGAAUACCAAUAUUUCAGGGCCAACAAGAACAGAAGCUGCUUUCAUCCUGCCCCAACACACAACAGAAACAGAAAAACUGAAACCUCAGCUGAAGCUCCUGCUCUCCCAUUUUAAUAUCCCAUAUGACGUGGAGGAACUAAGGGAUGCUGCCAAGGAAAUAGAACUUUUUUCCUUGGUGUCCCAAAAAUUUCAAAGCAUCUUCAUGAAGCAGCAGAGAAUGAAGACAUUUCCAGACUAUGAUGCUGGGAUAGCCAAAGCUGAGCAUUUGAGUUUGGCAGAACCUGGUAUGGCCUUGAAAAAGAGAGCCAGCUGGAUUUCCUUUGUAAAGAUUAAGCCAAAAUGUGAUCCUUGGCAAAAGAAGCUUUUGACCAAACUAAAAGAACGGAAAAGAAUAGAUGCAUUAAUGCAACUCCAAGCAAAGUUUUUGAAGAUUUCCAACCCUGAGCGAGUAAUGCAAGUGCUGCAAGAUCAUGCUGCAAAGACAGUCUUCAUGGCUUCAUCUCAUCCAACAUUCGUGGCUUCCUGGGAUUUGCAUCAGGGCAACUAUGACCAAAUCUGGGAGAAUAUUUAUAGCAAUGUCAACCUUUACCAGAAUGAAAACAUGAAGGAGGAUGGCCUUUCAGUGGAGCAAAAUGAAAAUGACUCAGCACAAAUAAGUCGUAGCCAUUGUGCUGAUGAGCCUGUCAAGCAGAAGAAAGAGCCGGGGUACAGCUAUGCACUGGCCCUACAACUCCUGGGUUUGGAUGAUGGGUCUGGGCCCAGUGAUGGGGAUUCUGUCCUGAUGAGAGGGACCUACUUGUCCUUUCUGUAUCUGCGCCACCUGAGGAUCAGGGAACUGCAGCGCAUCUGCUUAGGAAUUCUGAACUAUUUCAGAUCCAUUGAACGAACGCUGACGAUCAACACUUCAGGCCUUACCUUGGUUGCAGGGAGCCUGGUCCCCACCUCGGAAGAUAGCUCCUGGGUAAAUACAGUAAAAGGAGGCAUGGGCACCCCACAAGGCCUAGGCACUCACCACUAUGUCCAUGGAACAUCUGCUGAGCACAAGGUGAGGAUUCUGCUACAGUUUUCCUUCCUUGAUCAUCCUGUCUCCCAAGCCACCUUCUUAGCACCUGGAAUCAGUUAACAUGAUGAAGUAAUAGGUGAGAGUUUCUAGAGAAAUAGCUUUUUUGAAAAAUUGUGGUGAAAAGGGAAAUGGUUUUUUAACCACAAUAAAAUGCAGUGUCCACUUAAGAGCA